UCUCAAAGCCUAAACACCCUAAAAACACCAGAUCCUCUUUUAUCGUGGAAGCUAAGCAGAGUCAAUUCUAAGCAGUACUUGGAUGGGAGACUAGCAACGAAUACCAAGGGCUGUAUGCU
rnacentral:rRNA from 11 species